CCACAAACAUAGAUGCCGGGGUCCCGCCCCGGCGGAGUCCAGGUUCCUGAGGGAUGGACGGCGUCGGCGCGAUGAGGGAGGGGGAAAAUAAAGGGGACGUGAGACUUGGGUUGGUGUUAGCAAGUCCGACUUUACUGUGCACAAGUGUCGUUUAUAUAUUUUUCAGGAUUAGUACAGAAAUAGUUUUACAAAUAUUCUCAGAGAGAUAAGGAAGUAAGAAACGAGCACAAGAAUAUUUAUUAGCAUUCCAUUCUAUAGAGCAUAAGGUUAAUGAUCGUCUUCUCUGCAAUUAACUAGUGUUUGUUGUCUCUAAACUAAAGGAGAUAGGUACCUAGGCAUCUGUUGUAAUUCACGGUAAAGUUAAAUCAAAGAGAGAAGGUCCAGGCCUCCGGACAGGGCAGCAGCCCGUCUGGUUACAUCCUGGUGGAGCCAUCCCUGCCUCCCUCAAUCAUUUACGCCAUUAGUGUAGAUGGUUAAUGGGAACAAAAGGUGACUCCAGGGUGUCUUAUCCCCAGGGCUAUCUGCAUUCUCAGCGGGCAGUUAAACAUCUUUACUUUUUCGCGCCCUUUAGGGGGUGGAAGCAUUCCUUUGUCUUUUAGAUUGUAGAGCUAACGGUCCCUUAAGUACACUGCCGGAGAAAGUAUCAUAUUGUUAGUAAAGUAAAGGGCUGAAAAGCUAAGCUAAACUAUAAAUCUUCAAGAAUAAAAAAGAGAAAUAAGUAUACACAUAACCUUGAUAGAAAGCAUGCAUAUAAUUCAGAAAAUAUCGGGGGUGUUGGCCGGCCAUUCUUCACCGAGGGGCAUUCUUGCACCCCUCGGCCCUUCUACUCACCAAUUAUUUAUUAUUUAUUGCUUUUAGGAGAAAACCUCUAUAACAUUUUAACAGAAAGCAGAAGGUCAAGAAUAAUAUAUAGAUACUUCUUGAUCAUCCAAUUAACCAGCAAACUUAGAAGGACGAUGCAUAUGUAUAUUUAGACAAAGAACUGGAGGGAGAAGGAAACAUUAACCAGAUGGAGGCCAUAAACCUAAUUCGACAUCUUAUCUGGGCAGGAUUCCUUUCUGAUUGUCUCACAUGGGACUGUGUGCUCCUCCAUUAAUUAACUGAAAAAUAUCUUGAAAGUUACCUGCAGGUGGUCACAUUCUCUUACUGUAUCUAAUUUUCCCGGGAGGUAGUGCCUCCCAAGCAGCCACCCAAAGGAGUGAAAACUGGAGGUUAAGAAAGGAAAAGGAAUGAAGGGCAAUUAGAAGCAGCACAGGUUUCAGAACUAUGUGAGGGGCUGGCCGGUUAUUCUUCACCAAGGGGCGGCCCUGCACCCCUCGGCGUUAAUCAGCUGGACCCUGUCAAACAGCCGAUCAAAUGAUGUAGCCACGGCUCCCAGCA
rnacentral:lncRNA from 1 species